UCCUGUUUAGCUCAGAUGGAAGAGCGCGUCAUCUAAGUGUUGACGAGGUUAGUCGUUCAAGUCGCCUAAUGGGAA